UUCAAUACACAGAUUUAUUUUUCUGUAUUUUCUCCUCUCUCUAGAAUAUUCGAACUAGGGCUUUCUUCUAAAGAAUCCAUGGAUUCUCACUCAAUUUCUUCAAUCUAACAUGGUAUCAGAGCAAAUCCUGGAGAUUAUUGCUAUAUUCUAAUAUUCAUCGGAGAAUUUCUUGAGAAUGAUCGAGUUUUGUGUUUCCGACGAUUUCGAGGAGAUUUAUUAUUCUGUUCGAUUUGGUGUCUUCAUCUAGGUUUGUCUGUUCAAGUUCUUCAAUCGAUAACGAUUUUUUGUAAAGAUUGUCAACUAUUACUCUUGGAUUUUACAACAAAUGACUUCAUGAAGAUCAACUUGAAAAUUAAGGUUUAUGUCAUCAUCAAACUUUUAUUGCGGUGAUAUUCUUCUAACCCUAUAUCCUUAAGAUUUCUUUUUUGUUGAUUAUUUUAGACAUUUAACUAUAGAAAUCAUGAGUUUGAAC
rnacentral:lncRNA from 1 species